GAAUUUAUAGCUUAUUAGAGCGUAAUAUUGAAGAUAUUAAGGAAUCUUAUGAUUAAAUAUA
rnacentral:tRNA from 1 species